rnacentral:rRNA from 1 species
AUUGAACGCUGGCGGCAUGCUUUACACAUGCAAGUCGAACGGCAGCGCGGGGCAACCUGGCGGCGAGUGGCGAACGGGUGAGUAAUAUAUCGGAACGUACCCAGAAGUGGGGGAUAACGUAGCGAAAGUUACGCUAAUACCGCAUACGAUCUACGGAUGAAAGUAGGGGACCGCAAGGCCUUAUGCUUUUGGAGCGGCCGAUAUCUGAUUAGCUAGUUGGUGAGGUAAAGGCUCACCAAGGCGACGAUCAGUAGCUGGUCUGAGAGGACGACCAGCCACACUAGAACUGAGACACGGUCCAGACUCCUACGGGAGGCAGCAGUGGGGAAUUUUGGACAAUGGGCGCAAGCCUGAUCCAGCAAUGCCGCGUGAGUGAAGAAGGCCUUCGGGUUGUAAAGCUCUUUUGUCAGGGAAGAAACGGUAGAGGCUAAUAUCCUUUGCUAAUGACGGUACCUGAAGAAUAAGCACCGGCUAACUACGUG